GGNCCUUGAAAUCAAUUUUUACCAUAUUUAUACAUGCAAGUCUCCGCAUCCCUGUGAAAACGCCCUUAAGNUUUCUGCUUGAAACAAGGAGCCGGUAUCAGGCACAAAUAUUAGCCCAAGACACCUAGUCACGCCACACCCACAAGGGAAUUCAGCAGUAAUCAACAUUGUUUAUGAGCGUCAGCUUGACCCAGUUAAAGUAAAAAGGGCAGGCAAACCUGGUGCCAGCCGCCGCGGUUAUACCAUGAGGCCCAAAUUGAUCUCUUUNCGGCGUAAAGAGUGAUUUAAGUCAUUUUUANUCCUGUAGUCAAACUAUNUAUUAAGUAGUGAUAAGCUUGUAUCUAGGAAGCCCAGNAAACGAAAGUUACUACANNNCCCACAACAACUUGAACUCACCACAGCUAAGACACAAACUAGGAUUAGAAACCCUACUAUGCUUAGCCACAAACUUUUAAUUACANNNNNNNNCCCUAAACGCCAGGGAACUACGAGCNAAAGCUUAAAACCCAAAGGACUUGACGGUGCCCCAUAUCCCCCUAGAGGAGCCUGUCCUAUAAUCGAUAACCCCCGUUUAACCUCACCAUUAUUAGUUUCAUCAGUCUGUAUACCUCCGUCGUCAGCUUACCACGUGAGUGAAUAGCNAGUAAGUAUAAUGUCUUNNNCCUCCGUCUAUACGUCAGGUCAAGGUGCAAUUUAUAUAAUGGGAAGAGAUGGGCUACACUUUCUAAAAUAGAAUACACGAAAAACUANCUNUGAAANACUAGUUUAAAGGUGGAUUUAGUAGUAAAAAAGGACUAGAGAGCCUCUUUUANACCCGGCCCUGGANGUAUGUACACACCGCCCGUCACCCUCUUCGNCAGCUANNUUNAACUAGUAAAUAACAAAAAUAUNGCACAGUAGAAGAGGCANAGUCGUAACAUGGUAAGUAUA
rnacentral:ncRNA from 1 species